rnacentral:ncRNA from 1 species
UUCCUCGGGGUGCUAAGUGUGCAAACACUGGCUGAGAAAAUACCCGUUGAACCUGAACAGGGUAAUGCCUGCGAAGGGAAGGUGUACUG